rnacentral:rRNA from 1 species
UCGGGAAUUUUGGGCAAUGGGCGAAAGCCUGACCCAGCAACGCCGCGUGAGGGAUGAAGGCUUCGGGUCGUAAACCUCUGUCGGGAGGGAAGAAAGGCGCGCGGACUAAUAAGCCGCGUACUUGACGGUACCUCCAAAGGAAGCGCCGGCUAACUCCGUGCCAGCAGCCGCGGUAAUACGGAGGGCGCAAGCGUUGUUCGGAAUUACUGGGCGUAAAGCGCGUGUAGGCGGCUUGGCAAGUCGGCUGUGAAAGCCCGGGGCUCAACCCCGGAGGGUCAGCCGAAACUGCCUCGCUCGAGUCCCGGAGAGGGUGGCGGAAUUUCCGGUGUAGAGGUGAAACUCGUAGAUAUCGGAAGGAACACCAGUGGCGAAGGCGGCCACCUGGACGGUGACUGACGCUGAGACGCGAAAGCGUGGGGAGCAAACAGGAUUAGAUACCCUGGUAGUCCACGCCGUAAACGUUGGGUGCCAGGCGUCGGGGGUAUUGACCCCUCCGGUGCCGAAGCUAACGCAUUAAGCACCCCGCCUGGGG